rnacentral:rRNA from 1 species
AUGGCCGAGUGGUCUAAGGCGCCAGACUCAAGUUCUGGUCCUCUUACGAGGGCGUGGGUUCGAACCCCACUUCUGACAUACAUUUUUUUCCUUUUUUACUUAAUAUUAUUUUGCCUUUUCCAUUAUGAAUUUAUUUAUUUAUGUCACGAACACGAUCUCCAUCUUCUUCAGUUCAUAAUAUGCAUUAUGAAUUUACAUGAUGUUUCAUCUGAAUUUUUUUUUCUUCUCCCACUGUCAAUUCUCGAUCUUGGCUGUACACCUAGUCAGACCCCAGCCGUGCAUGCAGUGACCACAAACGUACGGCUGAGAUGA